rnacentral:rRNA from 1 species
GACGAACGCUGGCGGCGUGCUUAACACAUGCAAGUCGAACGGAAAGGCCCUGCUUUUGUGGGGUGCUCGAGUGGCGAACGGGUGAGUAACACGUGAGUAACCUGCCCUUGACUUUGGGAUAACUCCAGGAAACUGGGGCUAUUACCGGAUAGGAGCUCCUGCUGCAUGGUGGGGGUUGGAAAGUUUCGGCGGUUGGGGAUGGACUCGCGGCUUAUCAGCUUGUUGGUGGGGUAGUGGCUUACCAAGGCUUUGACGGGUAGCCGGCCUGAGAGGGUGACCGGCCACAUUGGGACUGAGAUACGGCCCAGACUCCUACGGGAGGCAGCAGUGGGGAAUAUUGCACAAUGGGCGGAAGCCUGAUGCAGCAACGCCGCGUGCGGGAUGACGGCCUUCGGGUUGUAAACCGCUUUCGCCUGUGACGAAGCGUGAGUGACGGUAAUGGGUAAAGAAGCACCGGCUAACUACGUG